UGAGACUUUGUCUCAAAAAAUAAAUAAAUAAAUAAAAGAAAUAUUCCCGAUCUUUUGUGAGUUUAUAGGAAAGACAAUCUCAGGCAUCAUUUACAUUGCUUUCAUUGAUUUAUUUUGUCUCUAUUCCUCUAUUUGGUUUUUGGCAUUAAAGGUUUGACUACCAAACAAUGAAUAUAAAAUAUACACUUUGUAAGCAUGUCCUUUAGUAAACAAUUAAUGAUAGCCAUGAAACAGUUGACUAAACACAGGUUAAUAGUCAUAUUACAGAAAUAAUAAAGAAAAUCUGCCAUGUUGCAUUCUAUUAUAAAUAACAUUUCAAAAUAUCUUUGUCAAUUUUUAAUGGGAUUUUGGGAUUCUUUUAGCAUAAAAGUUGUUAACUUGGGGGUUCAGGAACACAUAAAUAUUUAUUUAUUCCAUUGAAAAUAGUGGCAUAUGCUUUCAAUUUAUGGGAAUACACCCAAAAGAUUUCUGUAGAUCAAAUUAAACUCUAAAUUUUUUUUAGAGGUGGGGGUCUCCCUAUGUCACCCAGGUUGGUCUCACACUCCUGGCUUCAAGUAAUCCUCCUGCCUUGGCCUCCCAAAGUGCUGGGAUUAAAGGUGUGAGCCACUGCACCCAGCAAAAUUAAACUCUUAAGAGACUAUUUCUCUGAGAAAAUCGGACCGUUGUCAUGUUUUGAUAAUUUUUUGGUCAUUAUCUUUUGAUUUUAUGGUAAUUUUUGCUAUAAAAGAACUGCAUUAAUUCAUUCAACAAAUAUUUGAGUGUCUACCAAAUUCUUAAUGUUGCAGAUAUAUCAACAAAAAUAAAAAUCUCUUGCUCUCAAGGAGCUUACAUUAUACUGACAACCUCAAGAUUUCUUUUUUUACAUUGUAAUCUGACAUUUAUCUAGAGUUUGGUAAAAAGUGACUCCUUUUUUCCAGUGUAGACUUUGGUCUGCAACUUUAUAAUAUCAAAUUGUUAAUAGUGCACUGACACAAACUUUUUGCAAUUUUCAAAAACAAUUUUGCAAUGAGUGUCCAAAGCUUUUCUAAAAAGCCUUAAAAAUAUACAUGCAAAUAUACUCAGAAAUUUCACUUCUUAGAACUUAAAAAAAUAAUUAAGCUUUUUACAGUCUGGUCUCCAAGCGUAGGGCCAACGCUAAGCAGGGGAUUGUGUUCUCUCCAAUUGCAGGCCUUAUCAGAAUUGGAUAUGUCCUUCAUAUUUGAUUGGAUUUACAGUGGUUUCAGCAGUGUGCUACAGUUUUUAGGAUUAUAUAAGAAAAUUGGUAAAUUGGUAUUUCUUGGAUUAGAUAAUGCGGGAAAAACAACAUUGCUACACAUGCUAAAAGAUGACAGACCUGGACAACAUGUCCCAACAUUACAUCCCACUUCAGAAGAACUGAUCACUGCUGGCAUGACUUUACAACUUUUGAUCUGGGUAGACAUAUUCAAGCUCGAAGAGUGUGGAAAAACUACCUUCCUGCUAUCAAUGGCAUUGUAUUUUUGGUGGACUGUGCAGACCAUGAAAGGCUGCUAGAUCAAAAGAAGAACUUGAUUCACUAAUGACAGAUGAAACCACUGCUAAUGUGCCUAUACUGAUUUUUGGGAAUAAGAUCGACAGACCUGAAGCCAUCAGUGAAGAGAGAUUAAGAGAAAUAUUUGGUUUAUAUGGUCAGACAACAAGAAAUGGCAGUGUAUCUCUGAAAGAAAUGAAUGCCUGACCCCUAGAAGUUUUCAUGUGCAGUGUGCUCAAAAGACAAGGUUAUGGAGAGGGCUUCCGCUGGAUGGCGCGGUACAUUAACACCGACCUGUGUUGGUUCCAGGUCUCGACAUUCAGGCCUGCUCAGAGAUUUGAUCACUCAACAUGCAUAACUUGAAUUCAAUAGAUUUUUGUUUCUUAUAAAACAGAUGUUUUUUAGAUUAUUAAUAUUAUAUCAAAUUGAUUUGAGUGAGAAUUGAAAACUGAUUCAAGUUAGUUUGAAUAUCACACUAUUAGUUUUCUAAUUCCAUAAAAGUAAUUAGUUUUUACAGUUUAUAAUCUGACAUUACCCCAGCGCCAUUUAUAAAGAAUGACUUUCAAGGAGUACAUUUGAAGCACUUUUUAAUAACAUGAAACUACAAAUAUCAACCAUAUUUAAAAGCUCAUCAUGUUAAAUUUUUUAUAUACUUUUUUGGAACUAGUUAGUUUUUAAAUUUUAGAUUGUAUGUCCACCUAUUUUAAGUGUACAGUUAGUUAAUAAUUAGCUUAUCAAUGGUUGCAUGAUGCCUUACAGUUUUCAAUAAUAUUUUUUCUUAUGCAAAUGUCAUGCAAUAAGACAAACUCUUAAAAAA